GGUGUUAGAGGUGAUUCUUGCCAGGUACUAACUGCACACAGUAGGUGUUAGAGGUGAUUCUUGCCAGGCGUUACACUGCACACAGUAGGUGUUAGAGGUGGCUCUUGCCGCGGGUUACACUGCAUACAGUAGGUGUUAGAGGUGGUUCUUGCCAGGUGCUAACUGCAUACAGUAGGUGUUAGAGGUGGUUCUUGCCAGGUGCUAACUGCAUACAGUAGGUGUUAGAGGUGGUUCUUGCUGCGUUACACUGCACACAGUAGGUGUUAGAGGUGGUUCUUGCUGUGCGUUACACUGCACACAGUAGGUGUUUGUACGGCUCUUGCCGUGCAUUACACUGUGUGCAGUAGGUGUUAGAGGCGAGUCUCUGUGGGUACUUUGAAGGGUCAGGGGUCGUGCUCCAGUUCAGGCCAGAUGCUGCCCCUCCACUGUCUGCGUGGUGACUUAUGGGUGAUGCUGUUACCCACACAGAAGGCUGUCUCUUGUGGCUUAUUCUCCAGCCCCCGACAGGUCGUCAUGCCCUGCACAUCAGUGCAGACACCCACCCUGACAUGCGCAUGGCUGACCUGCUCUUCACCGCGUAGUGCAGUGUUGUGGUCAGCAGACCAGGUCUGUGCGGGGAGACUGCAUGGAGCUCUGCGUGCGCUGGGCCCUACGCUCCCUGGGAUGGCAGCUGCAGCCUCGCGUGCUCGUGACGCGUGGUUGUCUGUCAGCCUCCUGGUCCCCGAGGCUGCUGCUUGUUUCCGGAGCCGGCACCCACACCCUCCCUUUCCCCUCAGCAGGCUGGAGCAUUGACAGCAGCUGACCAACGGGCCUGCCUCGCGUGGGCUCUGUGUGUGGCUCGUCUGCCAGCGUGUGCGUGUGCGCGUGCGCAUGGACAAGGACUGGGGCUGGGCAGCCCAACCUUGGACUUUUGUUGAGAACUCACGUUAGGCCCUGGUAUGUGGUCAGUUUUCAGGAAUGUUCCAUGGAUGGUGGGCAAGGAUCUGAGCCCUGCGUGCCCCCAAGAGGAAGCCUGGCGAGCCGAGCCGUCUCCUGCCCUAGAGGUUCUGCCCACACUGGCCUCCUCGGCUGGGUGGCCUGUUUGAGCGGCCGCAUUCCUGGAGCUGCACCAGCUUUGUCGUCGGGGUAGCUUGUGCCUUCCUGACGUUCAGAACCCACAUCCUUAUGUUUUCAAUGUGUUGGGUAUAAAGCACGUGUCGGGGGCUUUCAACAUCUGGUCUGACAGUGUUUGUCUCCUUUUUGUUCCGUAAGGUUCUUCUCUCUGAGUUUAUUUCUGCCAUCUCUGCAUUCUACGCGUCCUGUCAUUUGGGACAGGUUGCUUUGUUCCUCCUUUCUUAACUUGUUUUGGAUUCUCUUUUCUUCUCUCUUUUUUCUCCUGUUAGAUUGGGAUUCAUUCCUCGGCUUCCAUAGGGGCCGCCACCCCACAUGUUUUAACACGCAGAAUUCAUGUAUCAGAAUCUAAACUCAACUGUUAUUUUUACUUUUCUCAAAACAAUUCAGAGACCUUAGGACACCGAUUGUGGUGACCUCCGUCCUGCCCCAGGCCUGACCCCUGUGUGCCACUCCUUCCUGGUUCUCCCUGGUGCCUGCAGCUGGGCUCUGGCCGUCCCAGGCUCUGUCCUCGCUACUGCGCUCAGGCCGCACGGACCCUCCCAGGCUGCUGCUGGCCAGGCCUCAUGCCGACUCCUGGUUUCCCCCCGUGUUUGCCCUCUGAGAGGCUGGUCAAAGCUUUCUCGUCAUUAUUGUGACAGAAAUGGGCACGUUUGCUCCCAGGUAUUUAUCGCCAGCAGGUGCUGAGGGCUCCCACUGCUGCUCUGGUCCUCCCAUCGUCUGGCCGCGCUCGGCCCUUCCGGUGAAAUGUUUCUCAGAUUCAUCAACAGUUUUCUGGAAACUCCAGCAAGUAACCAGGAGCCCUCCUCCCCACUCCCCCCGAGGCAGCAGUGGCUCCCCUCAGACCCACUGCGGGCACAGGGUGCAGCCCCCCAACCCCGAGGCCCUGCUGUGCCCGGGGCCCUGUGCAGACCCAGCCUCCCCACCUGGGACUGUUUCCUGAUGUUUUAUGCCCUGUUUUAUUGUAUUAAAAGUUUGUUUUGUUUUAC